CAAUAGCGUAUAUUAAAGUUGUUGCGGUUAAAAAGCUCGUAGUUGGAUUUCUGCUGAGAACGACCGGUCCGCCCAUUGGGUGUGUAUCUGGCUCUUUCUUGGCAUCUUCUUGGUGAACGUUACUGCACUUGACUGUGUGGAGCGCUACCCAGGACUUUUACUUUGAGAAAAUUAGAGUGUUCCACGCAGGCGCGUGCCUUGAAUACUGCAGCAUGGGAUAUUGGAAGGCCGAUUGAGCUUUCUUGUUGGUUCUCGGUUUGAUCGGAAUGAUUAAUAGGGAUAGUUGGGGGCAUUCGUAUUCAACUGUCAGAGGUGAAAUUCUUGGAUUUGUUGAAGACGGACUACUGCGAAAGCAUCUGCCAUGGAUGUUCUCAUUGA
rnacentral:rRNA from 1 species